rnacentral:tRNA from 1 species
GACUCUUCUGGAUAGCUCAGUUGGUUAGAGCGUGGUGUUGAUAAUGCCAUGGUGGCAGUUUCAAUCCCCGUAUGGGACG